AAUCUUGGACAAGGGGGGAAACCCUGAUCCCGCCAUCCCGCGCGUAUGAUGAUGGCCUUCGGGUUGUAAAGUACUUUUGGCAGAGAAGAAAAGGUAUCCCCUAAUACGGGAUACUUCUGCCGGUAUCUGACGAUUAAGCACCGGCUAACUACGUGCCAGCAGCCGCGGUAAUACGUAGGGUUCAAGCGUUUAUCGGAAUUACUUGGCGUAAAGCGUGUGUAGGCGGUUCGGAAAGAAAGAUGUGAAAUCCCAGGGCUCAACCUUGGAACUGCAUUUUUAACAGCCGAGCUAGAGUAUGUCAGAGGGGGGUAGAAUUCCACGUGUAGCAGUGAAAUACGUAGAUAUGUGGAGGAAUACCGAUGGCGAAGGCAGCCCCCUGGGAUAAUACUGACGCUCAGACACGAAAGCGUGGGGAGCAAACAGG
rnacentral:rRNA from 1 species